rnacentral:lncRNA from 1 species
CCAUUCAAUUCUAUGGAAUGUUUAUGAUGUGGCCUCAGGACCCUUCUGCAAAAACAAGAAACACAUAGCAUUAUAGAAUACCUUGUCUCCCCUGAUUAGUUAACAAGAAUCCAUAAGUUCGGCUUGAAAGUUCAGAACACUUGGAAUUUCCGAAAAGAAAAAUAGAAACAAAAACCAGAAGUUCAAUAAGUCACUGAACCCCUAUCAGAGUAAAAGAAGAACUACAGUCAUCUCUCUUCCUUUCUGUUUCCUCUCAGGAAUGCUAAAAUAAAACAAGAAGAUUGCAGUCAUCCACAAUAACGAGAAAUAACCUACCCUGUAAGAACCUUUAGAAGAGCGACCGUAGAAACGGAGCCGAGAAGAGCGCCAGCUCCUACCAAUGCCAAACACUUGAGUUUCUCCUCCAUUUACAGAUUUUCUCUAGUUUCCCCUCUUUUCUCAGUGGCCAAACAGUAGCGUCGAGUUUUAUUUCGAGCCUCGGGAUUCCUCUG